AGCUCUGUAAGCGUAUACCAAAGUUGCUGUAGUUAAAACGCUCGUAGUCGGACUUUGGCAGUUCCGGAGGUGUGCACGUCGAGCGCACGCCUCGCAGGGACUGCUUUUGUGGUGUAGCAAAAGAUGAGGUACUUCAUUAUGAACGUCCCGCGCUCCCACUCUUCACUGUGAAAAAAAUAAAGUGUUCAAAGCAGGCAUUUGUCAUGGAUAUAUUAGCAUGGAACAAUAGAAUAGGACUUUGUUCUAUUUUGUUGGUUUGUUGGAUCAAAGUAAUGAUUAAGAGGGACAGUUGGGGGCAUUUGUAUUACGGCGCUAGAGGUGAUAUUCUUAGAUUGCCGUAAGACACACUGCUGCGAAAGCGUCUGCCAAGGAUGUAUUCA
rnacentral:rRNA from 1 species